AUGUUUGAUUCUUCCCUCCUUUAUCAAAAUAGUUCGCAAGUAAUUGUUGUCUCAUGUGUUACGGUGGCUGAACUUAUUGGCACCGCUCCAAGAAAUCCAUCUAAACAUUUUACAUUUCACCAAAGUGAGUGUAAUGACAACUGUAGCAAACAAUACACCAAAAGGAAAGGAAGGAAAGAGGAAGGCAAAUGUUACAAAAAUUCAAAUCAAACUUAUUUAUAUCUUUCUCCUUACCAACUCAGUUUUAAAACACAUAUUUUAAAGGUGACAAUGAGCGCUAAAGGCUACCCUCGAAAAUUCAUAAAAUAUUGUAAUAUUUGA
rnacentral:rRNA from 1 species